CGGGAACAGAAAAGUUUCGAGGUAGCA
rnacentral:sRNA from 1 species